UUAUAAGCUUUCAAUUAUCAUUUGGAGAACUUAAACACCAUAUAGCUAACCUGAAAAACAUGUGUGUCACGACAUGGGAUAACCUUCGUCAUGAUGUCUCUCCGGUGGGCAAUGCCACCCAAGCAACUCCACAACAAAAAGACUGUUGAAGAAGGACAACACAAUCAUAGGGGCAUAUGAUCGACCCAGACAAGAUUAGCGGAG
rnacentral:lncRNA from 1 species